rnacentral:rRNA from 1 species
AUUGAACGCUGGCGGCAGGCCUAACACAUGCAAGUCGAGCGGAUGAAGGUAGCUUGCUAUCUGAUUCAGCGGCGGACGGGUGAGUAAUGCCUAGGAAUCUGCCUGGUAGUGGGGGACAACGCUUCGAAAGGAACGCUAAUACCGCAUACGUCCUACGGGAGAAAGUGGGGGAUCUUCGGACCUCACGCUAUCAGAUGAGCCUAGGUAGCGAUUAGCUAGUUGGUGAGGUAAAGGCUCACCAAGGCGACGAUCGUUAACUGGUCUGAGAGGAUGAUCAGUUAUACUGGAACUGCAACCCGGUCCAGAAUCCUACGGGGGGCAGCACAGGGGUAUAUUAGUGAAUGGGCGAAGUCCUGAUCCAGCCAUGCCGGGGGUGUUGAGAAGGUCUUCGGAUUGUAAAGCACUUUAAGUUGGGAGGAAGGGCAGUAAGUUAAUACCUUGCUGUUUUGACGUUACCAACAGAAUAAGCACCGGCUAACUUCGUGCCAGCCGCCGCAGUAAUAC